UUUCAGGUAGUGGCAUGAAAGUUUGGAAAUGCCCAUCAAUUUAUUCGGAUUGCUAUCCAUACAUACAUCUGUAGUGGCAAGAAAGUUUGGAAAUGCCUGUCAAUUUAGUCGGAUUGCUAUCUACACAUACAUCUGUGAGUGGAAAACUUAUAUAUUUACAAAUAGUAAUAAGGUACUUAUACUAUUACAUUACGUGUGAUUAUGCGAAUUAUUUGUUUAACUACAUAAUUAAUAUGGAAAGAUUCUUUCACUAUGAUAUAUGUGGAAUUUAAAGUUUGGAUAUGGAUUAUUUUUGAGUUGGAAUGUGAGACAUAUGUGAUAUUGAGAUCGACUAGAAAAGUACUCGUGAUUAUAUACAUCUUCUAGUUCACAGAGGGGCUUUGGCCGUGUUCAUAUAGUUCACGGAGGGGCAUUGGCCGUAUUCUAGAAUUGAUUACCAGAGGUCUUGAGAUCGACUUAUGUUCACGGAGGGGCCAAAGGCCCGUGGUGAAAGUGUUUAGCCCGAGAGAUGGAUUACAGAUUUUAGUCAGAGGGUACAUUUUUUGUAGAUCACGUGUGAUGUGAUGAGAUGAUGGCAUAGAUAUCAGCUGAUGACUAUAUCAUGGAUAUGAGAUGAUAUUUACAGAGUUAUGAGAAUGUCUCAUUUUUUGGCUAUAAAUUUUAUGAGGCUAUCAUGUGAAUUACUAAAUGAUAUGAACUUGAUGUCUAUGUAUGAGAAAAAUGUUUAAAUGAGAAAUAUAAUUAUUUUCGAA